GGAUCCAGACUUUGAUCAUGGCUCAGGAUGAACGCUAGCUACAGGCUUAACACAUGCAAGUCGAGGGGCAGCAUGGUCUUAGCUUGCUAAGGCCGAUGGCGACCGGCGCACGGGUGAGUAACACGUAUCCAACCUGCCGUCUACUCUUGGUCAGCCUUCUGAAAGGAAGAUUAAUACAAGAUGGCAUCAUGAGUCCGCAUGUUCACAUGAUUAAAGGUAUUCCGGUAGACGAUGGGGAUGCGUUCCAUUAGAUAGUAGGCGGGGUAACGGCCCACCUAGUCUUCGAUGGAUAGGGGUUCUGAGAGGAAGGUCCCCCACAUUGGAACUGAGACACGGUCCAAACUCCUACGGGAGGCAGCAGUGAGGAAUAUUGGUCAAUGGGCGAGAGCCUGAACCAGCCAAGUAGCGUGAAGGAUGACUGCCCUAUGGGUUGUAAACUUCUUUUAUAAAGGAAUAAAGUCGGGUAUGGAUACCCGUUUGCAUGUACUUUAUGAAUAAGGAUCGGCUAACUCCGUGCCAGCAGCCGCGGUAAUACGGAGGAUCCGAGCGUUAUCCGGAUUUAUUGGGUUUAAAGGGAGCGUAGAUGGAUGUUUAAGUCAGUUGUGAAAGUUUGCGGCUCAACCGUAAAAUUGCAGUUGAUACUGGAUAUCUUGAGUGCAGUUGAGGCAGGCGGAAUUCGUGGUGUAGCGGUGAAAUGCUUAGAUAUCACGAAGAACUCCGAUUGCGAAGGCAGCCUGCUAAGCUGCAACUGACAUUGAGGCUCGAAAGUGUGGGUAUCAAACAGGAUUAGAUACCCUGGUAGUCCACACGGUAAACGAUGAAUACUCGCUGUUUGCGAUAUACAGCAAGCGGCCAAGCGAAAGCGUUAAGUAUUCCACCUGGGGAGUACGCCGGCAACGGUGCAACUCAAAGGAAUUGACGG
rnacentral:rRNA from 1 species